rnacentral:lncRNA from 1 species
GUGAAGGGCCUGGAACACAAGUCCUGUGAGGAGUGGCUGAGGGAACUCAGAUUUUUUGGUCUGGAGAAGAGGAGGCUCAGGGGAGACCUUAUUCCUCUCUACAGCUACCUGGAAGAGUGGGGGGCCUGGAGGUUGUCCUCUUCUCACAGGUAACUAGUGAAAGGACUAGAGGAAAUGGCCUCAAGUUGUGCCAGGGGAGGUUUAGGUUGGAAAUGAAGAGCCAUUUCUUCUCAGAAAGAGCAGUCAGGCAUUGGAACGGUUUGCCCAGGGAGGUGGUGGAAUCAUCAUCCCUGGGGGUAUGAAACCAUAUUUAUUUUUCUUUUUUAUUUUCUUCUUUAUUUCUUUGUUUCUUUUUUUUUUUUUUUUUUUUUGAGAAAAUGAUAAAGUCACCAGCAGAUAGGCAGAACAAAGGCAGGACCUUCUAGGUCCUUACUGGGUGUUGGAGCACUAUCCCUGUUCCUUCCCACUAGCAAGCCCUCUGGCUGUGUUGGUCCCAGGCCUCACAUAAACUGACCAUUUUUGAUACAUGCAUAGAAGAAUCUCUUGCAACAAAUCAAUAUACAGAUAAAGUGUUCAUAUGUGCAUAACUACUGUAGUGUCAAUUCUCCUUUUAGUUUUUAUGCUGUAUUAUGAUGUGUCAACAAAUACAGGUUAUACAAGAAUUCUGAGCUCCGAGGCUGCAGUGUACAGUGCUGUAUUGCUAAACUUAUAGUUAUUUUUCCCUUAUUAAGCUUUCCUAGGAAGCAGCUAGCUGAUUUAUUGACAGCAAAGUGUCAGAAAAAGGUAACCUCCUCCUCCAGUGUGUCCUCCCUGAUGUUCCUUUUUCAUGAACUGUUAUCAAACCUAAUAGAACUGCAACAUGGAUGGAAUUUACUAUUAGAAAAGGAAGUGCCUGUACAAUGAGUUUGAAAUAAACAAUUAAUCAUUCAGUCAGUCUUGUGUGAAGCCAGGAGCUGGACUUGAUGAUGCUGACCAAAACAGUUCCUAAAACCAUUACCACCCACUUCUGUUUGCUCUGGAUGGGAGGGAAAGUGAAUCCCACUGAAGAGAAGAUUAUGCUGAAGAUGAUGUCUUCGCUGAAGAGUAAUUACUUUAAAUUGUGAGAGGGGAAUUACCAGGAAAGGUUAGCUGUGCUCCAAGAAAGUCUUCUGUCUGUUCCAGACUUAAGCUCUAAAAGCAAGAGUACAAAUUGUGCUUUGCACUGUGAAAGAAAGUAGCCUUGAAUGAAACACCACCUCAAUAACAUAAAAAAAAAACAACACAAACAGAAUAUAAAAAAAUGUACUUUCAUUAAAAAAUCUUUGUGCUUUCCUGUAAAAUUCCAUAUUUAAUGUAAAAAUCACAAAGAACUUAAAAAUAUAUAUUUUUUGCAUAUGUUGAUCUGUGCAUAUGUUAAGAUCAAUACCAAUCUGAUGUCUAGAUAUUAAUAUGGUUGUCAGACAAGCCCUUUACAAUUUAGCUAGUGCUUUUGAACAAAUGACCAGGGAGCUCAACUUUCAGGAGAAUUAAGCAUUCAUUCUUCUGCAGAAGUCCCCAAACUCUCAAGUACUCCAUAAUUAUUUAGAAAUUUUUCUUAAUGAAAUAGAGUGAAUAACCUUGAAAACAUACAAAAAAGGAAAAUAUAGAAAUUAAAUAAUAAAACACUUAGUCUAGAUUGUUUUGUAAUUGUC